rnacentral:misc_RNA from 1 species
AAAGUCGUAACAAGGUUUCCGUAGGUGAACCUGCGGAAGGAUCAUUAACACGUAUCCAUACGUAUUAUAUACCAAACCGUGAACCUGUUUGUAAUGAAUGAGAAGGGGUAGCUGGGCUUCGGCUUAGUGAGACUUCUGUACUUUAUUUCAACCAAUUAUAAACCACUUGUAAACCAAUUGUACUAAACCUAAGAAUGUGAACCGUUCAUUCGGAUCAUAUUUUGUAUUUACGAAACGUAAAAACAAUUCUUAGCAACGGAUAUCUUGGUUCUC